rnacentral:rRNA from 1 species
GAGUUUGAUCCUGGCUCAGGACGAACGCUGGCGGCGUGCUUAACACAUGCAAGUCGCACGGGACUGGGGGCAACUCCAGUUCAGUGGCGGACGGGUGCGUAACACGUAAGCAACAUGUCCAAGGGUGGGGGAUAGCCGGCCCAACGGCCGGGUAAUACCGCAUGCAGUCACCGGCGGCAUCUCGGGUGACGAAAGCCGGGGCAACCUGGCGCCCAUGGAGUGGCUUGCGGCCUAUCAGCUAGUUGGCGGGGUAAUGGCCCACCAAGGCGACGACGGGUAGCUGGUCUGAGAGGAUGACCAGCCACAUUGGGACUGAGACACGGCCCAGACUCCUACGGGAGGCAGCAGUGGGGAAUAUUGCGCAAUGGGCGAAUGCCUGACGCAGCGACGCCGCGUGUGGGAUGAAGGUCUUCGGAUCGUAAACCACUGUCAGAGGGGACGAAGGCCCGA